GUGCUAGCUUCGGCAGCACAUAUACUAAAAUUGGACCCAUACAGAGAAGAUUAUCAUGGCCCCUGCGCAAGGAUGACAGGCAAAUUCGUGAAGCAUUCCAUAUUUUU
ensembl:snRNA U6 U6 spliceosomal RNA